AUGGGGAAUCUCGUUGGUGAUAUGCCUGCACAACAAGAAAUGUUGAUGUCCUUUUUUCAGAGGAAAAGUAAAACCAGGUAGAAAUAUAGAUCUACACAGAGGAACAAAGAACACAGAAAAUAGUCCCUCCAUGGCUAAGAUUGAUUUUUAUUAUUCAAAUCUCCUUGAAAUAUAAUGGAAAAGAAGACCUUAAUCAAUAAAACGGUAUUAAGAAGACAAUAUUUUUAAGGUGGCAGUACUCCCCAGGGUAACCUAUGGGCUCAGUGCAAUCCCUGCCAAUCCAAUUUGCAGAAAUGUAAAAGCCUCAAUUUAUUUGGAAUUGCAAGGGUCUUCUUUUUCUAAAAAGAAGAACAAAUUGAAGACAUAAUUCCUAAUUUCAUAACAUACUAUAAAAUUACAGUAAUCAAACAUCAUGGUACUGGCAUAUGGAUCCAUAGAAUAGAAUUAAUGGUACAGGAAUAAACCCUAACAUCUAUGAUUAAUUGGUUUUCAAUGAGUGUGCCAAUACUGUUCAAUAAAGAAAGAAGAGUCUCUUCAGCACAUGCUGGGACAACUGAAUAUCUGCAUGCAAAAGAAUGAAAUUAGACCUCUCCCUCACAUCACAUAACAAUUAACUCAAAAGGAUAAAUAUGACAUAUAAAAGGUGAAAUUAUAAAAUUUUAAAAUAAACAUAGUAGUAAAUCUUCCUGGCCCUGGAUUUGGCAGUGAACUCUUAUUUAUAAUACCCAAAGCACAAGCAAUGAGACAAAUAGAUGCAGAGGAUUUCAUCAAAACUUAAAACCUUUGUGCAUCAAAGGACAUUAUCAAGAGGCUGAAGAGACAAUCUACAGAAUGUGAGAAAAUAUGUACAAACCAUAGAACUGGUAAGGGUCUAGUAUCCCGUAUAUAUUAAGAGCUCUUACAACUCAAAACUAAAGAAAUCAAUUCAAUUCCUUGAAUUAGGCAAUGCACUUAAAUAGGCCUUUCUCCAAAGCAGGAGAGCUUGUGGCCAACAAGCUGGUGAAGAGGCUCAGCAUCGUCAAUCUUUAGGGAACUUCAGAUCAGACCCGGGAGGCGGGGCUUCACACACUGUCACAAAGGGAGUGCUGGUGAGGGUGUCAAGAGGUGGAGGUGCUCCUGCACUGCUGGUUGGAGGGUAAAAUGUUGUGGGAAAUAGCUUAGCUAUUCCUCAGAAAGUUAAAUUUUAAUAUUAUAACUUUAAAACUAUAAUAGAGACUUAAAUUGGACUGACCAAUUUCAC
rnacentral:lncRNA from 1 species